rnacentral:rRNA from 1 species
GCGGGACGAUAAGUCAGUGGUGAAAGUUCGUGGCUCAACCAUGAAACUGCCAUUGAUACUGUUGUUCUUGAGUCAUUGUGAAGUGGUUAGAAUGUGUAGUGUAGCGGUGAAAUGCAUAGAUAUUACACAGAACACCAAUUGCGAAGGCAUAUCACUAACAAUGUACUGACGCUGAUGAACGAAAGCGUAGGUAGCCAACAGGAUUAGAUACCCUGGUAGUCUACGCCGUAAACGAUGGUUACUAGCUGUUCGUCACGCCUUUGGCGAGAUGAGUGGUUAAGCGAAAGUGAUAAGUAACCCACCUGGGGAGUACGUUUGCAAGAAUGAAACUCAAAGGAAUUGACGGGGGCCCGCACAAGCGGUGGAGCAUGUGGUUUAAUUCGAUGAUACGCGAGGAACCUUACCAAGGCUUAAAUGCAUAUUGACAUCCUGGGAAACCAAGACUUCUUCGGACAAUUUGCAAGGUGCUGCAUGGUUGUCGUCAGCUCGUGCCGUGAGGUGUCAGGUUAAGUCCUAUAACGAGCGCAACCCCUGUGGUUAGUUACCAGCAUGUAAUGAUGGGGACUCUAGCCAGACUGCCGGUGCAAACCGUGAGGAAGGUGGGGAUGACGUCAAAUCAUCACGGCCCUUACGCCUUGGGCUACACACGUGCUACAAUGGUAUAUACAAUGAGCAGCCAUCUGGUGACAGAGCGCUAAUCUAUAAAGUAUAUCACAGUUCGAAUCGGAGUCUGCAACUCGACUCUGUGAAGCUGGAAU